rnacentral:rRNA from 1 species
CCCUACGGGGUGCAGCAGGAUUCAUGAAGAUAAUCCGGCCAUUGCCGCUGCAAAGGAUGACUGCCUCAUCCAGGGCAUUCAAUGCAGACUGGCACAAUUGCUCCUGAUUCGUCAUAUCACCUCACAAGGGCUGCCCUGACAGGAGAAGCCUCUGCAUUGUUCAGCUUCAAUGGAAGGCAGAUCAAAAGAUAUCUGCCGCAUGAAACUGAAGCCAGAUCCAGGCCUUCCAGGAUCAGGAUGUUGUUCUGCAGGAAUAUGCGAUGCACUGGCAGAUCAUCGUCUGCAUAUCUGUCUACAGAGAUAUAAUCGAUUCCGACCAGUCCGGUUCCCUGAGCUACACAGGCCAGUGCGAGCCUGGCUGAUAUGCUGACAUAGUCCUUCGUGAAUUCUUUCCUGUGCAUGAGACCCUUGCUGGAAUUGGCGGGAGGGC